rnacentral:tRNA from 1 species
GCUAAAGGUGUAGCUCAGUGGUAGAGUGCUGCUUAGCUUGUAAUGGUCCUGGGUUUGAUUCCCCAGCACUCAGCA